rnacentral:lncRNA from 1 species
UAAUCCAGUUGCGACUAUGACCGGUUAUGGUGAUGGUGAUCACCUCUCCUGGUUGGCCAUCUCCUCUAUACUAGAAAUAGUUCAUGGUUCUUCACAAACUGAAGGUUUUACUACGUUGAAAAUGUUCACAACUAUUUAUUGGCAGUGUUGGAUCAAGUUCUUGUGGCUACAACAAUGGACGAGAAGAUUUUGUAGACUUUCUAAGAUAAAGGGAGGAUCUUUGUCCGAAUCUUCAAGUAUAUCGAUUUCAAGAAGGCGACAAGAUUUAGAAUCAUCUCCAACGACACUAGAAUUUUAUUUCCUAAUUAAUGUAAUGCCAAUGGCAUUUUGGAGUUUCAGCAGCAAGCCAGCAAGCUGAUAGCCAAUAAAAAAGUGUGUGAAGGGGGACAUAACAGAUUAUAUCUGUUAGCCUACAAGACUAGAAAUAGCAUGGUUACUCUCCACUCUUUCAUCGAAAUUGUAAUAAUUUCCUGUAUUUGCGUAAAUGGUCGUUUUGGAAUGUUUCUGUAUUUUGUAAAC